CACAGGGUUUGUCUCUUGCCCUUCUGCCCUGUAUUAUGUCAAUGUUACAAGGUCCCAUUUUGGUUCUUUUUUGAGGGCGGGAGGGGAGCCAGAGAUUGAAUGCAGGGGCGCUUAACCAUUGAGCCACAUCCCUAGCCCUUUUUAUAUUUUAUUUUGAGACAGGAUCUUGCUAAGUUGCUUAGGGCCUUGCUAAAUUGCUGAGGCUAGCUUUGAACUUGCGAUCCUCCUGCCUCAGCCUUGCAAGCCACUGGGAUUACAGGUGUACGCCACCAUACCCAGCUCCAUUUUGGAAGAAGUAAACAGACUCUCCCUCACCAGACAUUGAGUAUGCGUGCACCUUGAUCUUGGACUUCCUUCCUUGAUCUUGGACUGUGAGAAAUAAAUUUGUACUUGUAAUUACCAAGUCUCAGGUAUUUUGUGAUAGCACAAAUGGACUAAUACAAUAUAUCUUGGUAAGAUUUUUUUUCUGCUUUAUUCUGUGUGGGAAAAAAACAUUUUUGUUUUUUACAUUGUUCUAGAGAGAGGGUCUCACCAUUUUGCCCAGACUAGUCUUGAACUCCUGCCUGAAGUGAUUUUCCUGCCCCACUCCCCAUGUAGCUGGAACUACAGGAGCACACUACCAAGCUCAGCCCAUUCGUGAAUAGUUUAAAUAAAAUUUAGAAAAAUUUUAGUCAUCAGUUCUUAAGAUAUUUUCUCUCAACAGAUGUGGUGGCACACACUUGUAAUCCCAGCAAUUUGGGAGGCCGAGGGAGGAGGAUUGACAGUUCAAAGCCAGUAUCAGCAGUUUAGCAAAUCCCUAAGCAACUUAGAAAGACCCUUUUCAAAAUAAAAAAUAAAAAGGUUUGGGAAUGUGGCUUAGUGGUUAAGGACUCCUGGGUUCAAUCCCUGGUACCAAAAAAGAAAAAGAAAAAAAAAAGAUAUUUUCUUUCCUUUUCUCUACUUUUGUUCUGGCACUCCAUUAGCAAACCACUUCAGAGCUUAUACUGUAACACAGUUAACUAGGCUGUUUUUCUUUCUUAGAGCCUGUCAUUUUGGUGCAUUACUUUGGGAAGUUUCUAUUGCUAUUCACCAAUCCUUUUUUCUGCAGUGUCUUGUCUACUUUAAGUUCCAUUCAAUGUAUUCUUCUCUAAAAUUCCACUGGGUUUUUUUCUAGCAUCUUAGUCUCUCAUUAUGGUCAUUUCCCUUAUAAAAUUGAAUCUAUAAGAUAUUUAAUACCUAGAAUACUAUUCAGCAUUAAAAGAGAAUAAAAUCAUGGCAUUUGCAGGUAAAUUUAAAUGGAUGGAGUUGGAGAAUAUAAUGCUAAGUGAAGUUGGCCAAUCCCCAAAACCCAAAUGCUUUCUCUGAUAUAAGGAUGCUGAUUCAUAAUGGGGUUGGGGUGUGGAGCAUGG
rnacentral:lncRNA from 1 species